CUGCAUCCCGAGCCAGCCUCCCACGCGCUUCCCCUGCACACCCCCUGCUCGUUCCCUGCGCCCCCCGCCGCCAUGGUCAUCCCCUGCACCCCCCUGUGCACAUACCCUGCACCCCCCUGUGCACAUCCCCUGCUCGUUCCCUGCGCCCCCCACCACCAUGGACAUCCCCUGGACCCCCCCAUGCACAUCCCCUGCACCCCCCUGUGCACAUCCCCUGCUCGUUCCCUUCCUUCCCACCACCAUGGACAACCCCUGCACCCCCCUGUGCACAUCCCCUGCUCGUUCCCUGCCCCCCCCCCCCAUGCACAUCCCCUGCACCCCCCAUGCACAUCCCCUGCGCCGCCCCACGGACCCCCCAAAGAACAUCCCCUGCGCAUCCCGCGCACGCCCCGUGCACGUUCCCUGCACCCCCCCCGCGCAUCUUCCUCGUCCGGCGCGCCCCCCACUCACCCCCCCGGUUUAUCCGAGGCACCCCCAUGCGCAUCCCCCGCCUGUCCCCGCACGCAUCCCCCGCACCCCCCCACGCAGGUCCCCCCCGGUUUCGCCCCCUCUUCCUCGUCUCGGGGCUCCGCCGCCCGCCGGGACCCCCCCUCGGCAGCCGCGGUUCGGGCCCCAGGCCACGGGGAGGGAGCGGCCGCGGCUGGGGGAGGGACCGGAGCGGGGAGGGAUGAGGGAUUGGGAACGGCCCCCCCGCCCCGGCCUGCUCUGAGUCGCCAGACUUACGGGGGGUGAUUUAAAAUCGUCAUAAUGUGGAUAAUAAUAGUGAUUCUUAUAAUAAUAUCGAUAGCAAUAAUGAUAAUAAUAAUGAUAAUGAUAAUAAUAAUAAUAAUAAUAAGCAAUAAUAAAAAUAAUAAUAAAUAGCAAUAAUAAAAAUAAUAAUAAAUAGCAAUAAUAAUAAAUAGCAAUAAUAAAUAAUGAUAAUAAUAAAAAUAAUAAUAAAUAGCUAUAAUAAUAAAUAGCAAUAAUAACAGCACCAAUAUAAUAAUAGCUAUAAAUAAUAGAAAUAUAAAUUAGCAAAAUAAUAAUAGCAUAAUAAUGGCAAAAUAAUUAUAAUGGCAUAAUAAUGAUAGUAAUAAUAAUAAUAAUAAUAAUGGCGAUAAUAAUAAUAAUCACAAUCAUAAUCUGAUCCUGUUACAUUUAAACAAAAGGACCCACAUGGGUAAAAUUUUAGCCAACUCUGCCCAGGCUCACUCCUUCCUAGUGGAUAAGCAGGAAUGACAGUCCUAGGCCAAAUGGGAACAUCAGGUGGAAUUUAAGGGGUCUCUCACUUUAUUUUCCCACAAGGCCAGGGGGGUUGGAAGUUGCUGCUUCACAGCUUCGUGUUCUCUCUGCUUUCCUAUUUCGGGGUAAUUGCUCCAUGUAGCACUGUAACUUCCACGCCAUGGGUUGUUACAUUCUUGCUCCUUAUUUUUGCUCUCAGAAUAUAUGAUGCAGUUUCUGUUUGUGGACUGUUUUAAUAGCGAGGUGGCUGAGACAAAGUUUACUCAAUAAACUUGCCUUUCCCCUUGAGCAGCUUUAGCUUAGAUAAACUGGCUGUGAAGUCCCCGUUUAGCGUGGGACUAGGACUGUUUACCAUUCAUCAUUGUUAGUUAAUUGCUGUUUGGUUAAAUAUUUAGUUUGGAUUAAGUUCUUUUAUGCCCCUUUCUUAAAAAAUAAUAAAUAAAGGUGUGUUUAGCAAUGCGGUAAAAGGCUUUUUAGAAGGCUUUUCAAAGACACUCUGCAGGAGGGAAGCUCCAUAAAGCUUCUUUUCGGUAUUUUGCAUUUAAAUUUUCUUAGCUGUAGUUUGCUGUGCUGUUAUAUUUGUAAUUAGCCAAGCUGAAGCACCAAGGGCAUUGGACUGUUCUCUGGAGUGACUGCAGACUUGUCUUCGCUACCAGUGUCAUUCUUUAAUCUGAGAAGAAAAAAUCAUAGAAUAUCCUGAGUUGGAUCGAGUUCAGCUCCUGGCCCCGCACAGGACAGCCCCAAAUACAGUUUUCAUCGUGGUUUAAAGCCCCCAAGUCCAACUGGUGGCCUGCAGAUGGCCCGUGGUUGGUGUAAGAGGACAGUGGGAAGGGCAGGUUUGGGAAAGGCACCGAGGAGGGACUUCACUUAAUACACUGAGCCAGCAACAACCCUCCUGCUUUUCCAGCCCUGUGGGGUGUUACUGAGCAGCAGGGUGAGGAGCUGAGUGUCAGGGUUAAGCCCCAAAGCAGGUGGGGGGCUUUCAGGUGUGAUUUCAGGUGCCAGGUCCUGCUCCCUGCAGAGGAGAAUGGCACCAUGAGCAUCUCCACCCCAGGGGGAUCCCGGUGCCCCCAACCUGCACAGAGCAGCUGGAUCUGGUGGGACACAACUCAGGGGAGGCCUGGGAGAGAGCAGGAAGCCCCCACGGCACUGGGGAGGCUGUGGGAGAUCAGUGCCCGCUGGAAAGGGCCUUUUUUGGUACAAUGCAGCAGCGGUGACCCGGUCGUUACAUAAACAAGGGUUUAAUUUUGGAACUUUAAUAUUUAACAGGCUCACGUUUCUUGUGCUCAGACAUGUUCUCAUGCACUGCCCCUUUGACAAAAUACUUCUUACCUACCUCAUUGUCCUGCACUGGGUUCGUGAUCCAUUGGAGGGAAUCUUUGUUCCCGGGAUAAUUCCUGUUCUUAGUGUGACUCUGUCAGACUGGAGCAGGGUUUUAUAAGGGUGGCCCUUCUGAGCUCUCCUCUCCCAUGAACAGAACACCAGAGGGUGUGGUGAUGCCCAGAGCAGCAAAGCCCAGCCUGGGCAGUUACCUACAACAACAGCAGCACUACAAACCAAGGCCCUUUGGAAGGCAGGCACAGGGAUCCAUCCUGAGCUGGGACCUCCACCAAAAGUGACUUGUAGAACUCACAAAUUGUAAGUUAUACUUCACCAGCUCCUGCAAGGAGAGAGGCUGGAGGGCUGUUGAUCCUCUCUUGCUCUCUGUGGCUUUUCUCUGCAGUCAGCAACCAUCCCACACAGGUUGGUGAAGGUAACUCAGGUAUCUCCUGGGAGGGAACAGAAGUUCUGCUUGACACUCGCUUUCAGAGGCAAAGGUGGUUUCUCAUCUGUGGUCCAGCCCUUCAACCUUGACUGUUCUGUUCUAAAACCACCAGAGAAGUCAAGAGGAACAGGAAACAAAUUGCAUUGAAAGUGCUUUGGAGGAAGGAGUUACCAUGGAGAUGGGAAGUCGGGUGGUUUUAUUUAAGGUUAUUAGGAGGCAGUAGGUCCUUCCCAAAGUGGUCUCGAUACCACAACUUCUGUCUUUCUUUCUUUCUGAAGCUGUAGGGCAUCUGUGUGUUGGCUUUAGGGGUCUCCCUCGCUGCCACUCUCUCCAAUCAUGGAACAACUGCAUCUCCAGCUUGGAAGUCUGCAGAUACAGUAACCCUGAGCCACUCCAGGCAGCCCCUUGCAAUGUCAGUUACCCGAGGAGGAGAGAUUUCCCCACCCUGUGGUCUGUGAAAUGGAUUUAGAAUCGUAGAAAGGCUUGGGUUGGAAGGGACCUUAAAGCUCCUCUCGUUCCAACCCCCUGCCACGGGCAGGGGCACCUUCCACGUGAUCAGGUUGCUCAGGGCCCCAUCCAACCUGGCCUUGAACACUUCCAGGGAUUUAAAGAAGGAAGCUUUUGUUCUUUGUGCUGUAGGAAUGACAUUAGUGUUCUGGGAAAGAAACACUUGCCUUUAAACUAUGAUGCAGCAUUUCCUUUAUGGUCCUAAUCCUUUCUCACCUGGGUGCCCAGGGCGGUGGCCCUCCCACAGCAUUCCCAGCCAGGUGGCCGUUUCCAUAAACCACUGGGAGAGGGAAUAAUGCAGACUUUGCACCCUUUAAAUACGUUUUAAUGGUGCAGUUCUCAGCACUGGCUGUGCUGGGCUGUGAAAUGAGCAGGGACUGUGUUUGGCCCCGGUGUGGAACUCCUCUGUGCUGUGUUUACCUGGCCUCCCACAGGUUCCCAGCUCUCUGUGACCGUGGGGCCGUCACGCUGCCUGCUCAGCACAGUUUGUCACCCCAAAGGAAUGAUGCAAAUAGAAGAAUUAGCCCUGCCCUGUGCUGGGACUGCACAAAUCCAUCGUGCCAGGAGCCUGCCCUUCACCCAUAGGGAACACCCAGGGAGGAGCACCCAGGAAGCUGCAGCCCUUCCCACAUCCUGCACUCCAUGUACUGCUGAGUUACACCGUGUCCAUCACUCCCUGUGUUCACUUAGGGUUUGUGGUUUGGGUUGGUUGGUUUUUUUUUUCUUUAACCUAUCAUUUUGGACCUACAAAUACUGAAUUUAAUCAGAUAAUUUUUUCCCAGCCACUGCACACCAUGAGAUCCUUCCUUUGCUCCUCACUGUUUUGCCUCAGUGAUUUUGUAUCAUCUCCAAAUGUUACCAGCUCACUAUUAAUCCAUUUCCCAGAAACUCCCAAUAUCCUGGCCUGUGUCUUUAGGCACAUUUGGGCACCAGCAUUUCAGUUUUCACCUGCACUCAAAGUUUGGUGAAUGGUCAUCCUAAGGCAGCUCAUCUUGGACAACCUCAUUUUAACCUCACUGUUCUGAGGCAGGAAUGGAUUUAGAUAACUCAGGUUUCAUCCCUGUGGGUGGUGGGUUUGGCAUCAAGGCUGUGCAGAACCCAGUGCUCCCUCCUGCAGUGGCCUCACACACACUUCAGCUGCAGCAGAGAGGGGAAGGAAUGAUCCAUCUCCGGCAAAGGAGCUGCAGGUCUCCAGAACAACCUUACAGAAAUCACCUGCUACACGUCACCAAGGGAAUUCUAACCAGAAAGGCUGGGAAGCAAAGCCCUGGGAGGCCAGAGCUCCCAGGGGGUAGCCCUGAUGAAAGAGCACGUGUCAGAGGGAAGCCUGGGAUACAGGUCUCACUCAUUCUUGGCUCAUUGAUGUGCACAUCUGAUGGCCCUAUUUUCACCUCUCAUAUCCCAUCUGCUUCCCUGCAUUCCCCUUGAGCCCCUCUCCUCACCCCAUCAAUGGGUGAAAUAGGGUACCCUAAAGGCCAGAAGGCACUGUCCUGCACAUUUCCCCUUUCACAGACUCCUGUAUUCUAAUGAAUGUCUUGAUUUUUCACCCUGCCAUAGAUGUACCUCUUUGGAAGCCAAACACCCCACAGACCUGCUCUUUCCACAAAAUCACACGAGCCACAUUCCCGGUGAUGCUCCUCUCCCCUGGAGCUGCUGCUGUGUCCAUCCACCCUGGCACUCCAUCCUCCCGUUGCCAAGGAGCUGACUGUGCUGCUGAGAGCCCUGGACUGCUCCAGCAUUCCUGCUCUUCCUCUGCCUCCUCCUCACCUCCCACUCGGCCUCUCCCACAGUUGCGCUGGAAACGGGAAUGCUGCAGCCACCACCUCCCAUGUCGGGAUGUGCACAUGGAUAAUCCCAGUGGUGGGACUGUGAGGAGCAGGGUGUUACUACCACGGGGUGACAGGCACCUCUGCGAGAUAACUCAGGUUGCCAUGGUUACAGGUGGAAAAUAGGGCUGUGGGUUAACUCGGGCCAGCGGCGCACGAAGCACGACAUCCCUUGUCAUCCUGGCACACCUGAGGCACUGUGAGCUGGGGUGGCACCCCUCAGAAACCCCUGAGUCCCCACCCAGCCAGGUAAAACUUCCCAAAACUUCCCAAACAUGAGUUACUGUGUGCAGCAGCCUCAGGGAUGGCAUCGGGUUGGGGCAGAGCAGCCUCCUGUGGGCAGGAGCCCGUCCCAGCCUUGGGAUCUGUUCUCUCUUCUGGGUGCACCCCAAAUUUUAGCACCUCGUGUAAGCUCUGAUUUUCCUGAGCUUUCACACUCCAAAUAUUUAAGAGGAAUUUUCAGUCAGGGAAGCACUUCACCUGGAGACUGUUGUUCCAUCUUGGAGGUAGAGGAGCAGAGGGCACCGGCACGGGCUCCGAUGGACCAGCCAGUGAUGCUGUUCCUGGCUCCCAGAGAGACACACCACACACAUUCCAUGAACAGGAGGUACAGGGCCUGCUGGAAUGAUUCCUCUUGGAAGUAUUGCAUCCCACAUGCUGAUGGCCCAGCCCUCGGGAAUGAAGUGUGGCAGCGUGGGAAUGGAUCUGAAGAGCAGAGCCUGGAGUCCAGGGCAGCCACAAAUAAAUUGUGCUCUAUUAAUCUCUUAAUAACGGGGAUGAGCUUUGGUGUGCUGUGCAAAACAGGUAUUUAAAGCAGUCUUAAAAGUCUGUACUUACAUCACAGGUGUGAUAUUGUAAUAUUCUGUACCUUAAUCACAAUAUACCCCCAUCUCUGGAAGUGUCCAAGGCCAGGUUGGACGGGGCUUGGAGCAACCUGGGCCAGUGGAAGUUGUCCCUGCCCAUGGCAGGGAGUGGAAUGAAAUGAGCUUUGAGGUCCUUUCCAGCCCAAACCAUUCUAUGAUAAUAUAUUUUUAUUUUCUUGGGGUUUUUUGGGGGAGGAAUAAUAAUAGAGUCUGGCUUAGAGGCUUAAACCCUGUCCUUGCCAUUCCUCAGGGAUCCUGUUUGUCCUUCCCACAGGAUGAACGUGAAUCCUCAGGUCUCCUUUCCCCUUUAAAGGAGUAAAACAGGCCAAGAAGGAGCUGGUUUAUGUGGGGGGUUUUUUUUAAGAGGAAAAUAGUUGGCAGGAACAUGAGCAAAGCUGAAAGUAUUUUCAUCUGUUUUGUUUUGUAAUGUUUAAUGUUUUGUUUUCUACUUUACCAAUUAUACAAAGGAAUCACUCAAAACAAAGGUCUCCCAUUCUGAAAAGGGAAAAAAUAUCUAUAGUGGGACUAAUGUGACUAAUGAGAAUUGGCCAAGUAAGGAAAAUAUCCAAAAUAUCUUGAAAAAUGACAUAUCUAUUUUUUCUUCGGAAAAAAAAAAAAGUUCACUCUCUAAUUGAGAUUUGUUUGCAAAAUAAUUCCGGGCUGGGAAGAGUAAUCAACUCAUGCAUAAAAACAUUGUCUUGAGAAUAAUUUUUAUUUCGUUACUGGUAGCUUGGAUUUUAGAACUUACCUGUGAUUUCCAAAUGAUUAUUUCUAUGUCCCAACUUUUAAAUUUGUGGACCCUUGUUUUACGAAAAGCUACGGAGAGAAUUGAUCAGGAAAAUACGGUUUAAAAAUAAUAAAUCUUGGCAGUUUGAGGACAAAACAGCUGGGAAAGGAUCCUCUUCCUGCUCCCUCUUUUUUUUUUACAAGUAUUUUUAAAAGAUAACAGCUUAGAAUUACUUAUUUUUAGAAGGCUCUAGAAGGCUCAGCUGAGACCCAGAGGCCACUGUGGCUCAGCGCUGUACAAGCAAAUUAUUUAGGCCAGUUUAUCCCCGGCCAAAAUAAUUUACAAUCCCAGUUUCCAGGCUGAGACAAGAGGGAGAGAGAGAAACCUCAGCCAGAGCUGCCAGCACCAAUCCCAGCAGGAACAGCAAAACGCCCCGGUCAGCGCCGGCGCCGGCGGAUUCAGCCCAGCUGAUGAAUAUGAUAAUCCCCAAUAUGAUAAUUUUCGGUAAUAAAAAGCACUUCAGGAAUUUUUUUCUUUUUUUUUUUUUUUUUCUCCUCCAGAUAAGAACAAAUAAUUUGUGGCAUCGAGCUUGAAAAGUUCUGGGCGUUCCUUUGGCAGCGGGUGCCGGGGAGGUUUUCGUGUACCCGGGGCAGCAAUCCAGGGAGCUGGGAGGUGACAGCAGGAGUGACAGCCAGGACUGUGGGACAGCCAAAAACUGUGCUACAGCAUCAGCUGGGAUACAGGCUCUGUGGGACUGUGUUCUGGAGAGAUCAAACAGGGAUGUGCAGGUGGAUUUCUGUCAGCUCAGGUGAGCGCCCGGCAGCCCACAGGUACCAACUGCUCUGCAGUGCCUCUUCCUCAUUUAAUUAAAAAUAAAAAAGCCAAAUCCUGGAUCUGUGUUUCAGCGUAAAGGCAAAUGAACCUUAAAAAAUGUAAAUUGAAAUCCUUUCUGAUGAGCUGCAAGCAAAAAUACUGUUGCCCCCAGCACAUCCAAAGCCUCAGAGCAACCUGACAGGUGCCAGCCCUGGGGAUGACACUGUCUCCAAACAGAUCCUGCCUCUGUCAUGGCUGUGUCCUGUCAUUCAUCAGGACUUUGAUUUUUAAAUAAAAUAUCCCAACAGGCUCAGCUGGACACUUCAAAUGAAAUUCAUGCUUCUCCCCCUGCGCUUGCAGGAGCAGUUCUUCAGGUAAACCCAAGAUAUGGAAGGAGUGUUUGGUUACUGCCACAGGAACGAAAAGAAAACCCAUAGCGUUCACUCCUGGCUUCUGAUUAAACAAAACAAAGUUGUUAUAGCUGAAGUGAUACGUUUUCUGGCUAAAUAUUUAAAUUGGUAAUUAACAUACUUCCUUUAGGGUGGGAAAAUAGUUGUUUGCCAGAGUUUCGUGGACUCGAUGGGAGAAAUAAACCGCCGGAGUUUGCAAAACAGAGGCUUAAAUGUGUUUAUUUCGUACUAAACAUUUUGUAACUCUGCCCGUGAGGAGCAGCGAGCGGGAAUGUUGUCCAGGAGGAAAUAAAAGCAGCAGGGAUUUAUGGCACGGCCCCGCUCCGGGGGGUUUAACCACGCCAGCAGCCCUGGCACGGGACACGCUCCCCGGCGGCUCAGGGAGCCGGGAGGGUGGUGAGGUUUAAACCUUUAAAACAGCAAAGCACACGGUCCCCGAAACCCAGUUUUCCAGAGGUUUAGUUAACUGGGGGGGGCAGAUUUGCAGGCCGGGCGCUGAGUUAAGCCUGUGCUGAUCAGCUGGAGCCGAGGGCCGGGGCACUGCCGUCAUUCCCGUGCUCCCUCCCAGGACUCCGUGUUCCCGGGUUAUGCAACAACGGGCAGCGUGUGCCCCCCGACCCCGCUGCUGCCACAGUGGGCACCGAUCCCCCUCUCCAUUCACAGCCUCCCGUGCCCCCCACGUGAAACGGGAAACCUGGAAAAAGCAGAAGUGUGGCUGUAAUUAGGAUUAAUCUAUUUUUAGCAGGCUGUCUGCUGCCCUGUCCACGCUCCAGCUGAGAUGUUUAAUUCUGUCCAGCUCGACUCUUUUCUGCAGUGGCACCCAGGACUGGCACAAAAAUUUUCUUUUAAUCCUUAGAUUUGGGGGGUUUUUUUCCUGUUUUGCUUUGUGUGGAUACAGUGGUUUUAAAAAAAAGUCCUUUUUUUGCCCACGUGUAAUAACUGGAAAAUCCAGCACUGAAGUAAUACAAAGAUUGCUGUAUUAAAAAAAAAAAAAAAGUUAUACAACGUUUACUAUCAUUAUUAUUCAUUUUACUAUGGAGUUUGGAAACCUCGUCAUAGAUCAGGAAUGUGUUGUACCCUGGGCUGCACAAACAGCACAGAAGGAAAAUUGCCUCUUCCAAGCUAUAUUGGAUAAAAACACGCAGUGAUACCAACAGGAUUUGUGCUAAAUGGCAUCGGGACAAGAUGUUAAAAGACAUCCCUGAGCACCUCGUCAGUCACUGACCCCGCAUUUAAAUAUCUGCUGCGCGGGUCUUUUAACCUUUUUUGCGAUGUAUUUGCGAAGGGAACUUCGUGAUUAGCACUUAGGGAAACACCCUGGAACACAGCUGGAUCGACAUCAAUAGACUCCUCCGGCCCCGCCGCCCCCCCGGGAAUGUUUGGCUUUUGCAAAUAUUCCUGCCCCGUGCGAGAGUGGCAGGAGUGGCCCUGGGGAGACACGGCCCCGGGAGGGGGAGUGGGACCUUGAAGCACAGAAUAGGGCAGUGGUCGAGUUUUGCUCGCCCCAGCCGUGCUCUCCCAUGGGUGCUCCAUGGCCUGGGGGUUGGGAAGAUGCUCCCCCUUAGGGAAAAAGAGCUUCCCCCCAAAAUCGCAGCCCCGGGGGCACGUCCUGCUCCAGGCACGGGCAGGGUGUGGGUUCCUCCGCACCCCACCUGUCCCCCCGCCCGGGCGUUUGAGUGACUCAUGAAAGCUCCCGGGUGCUGAGCGUGGAGAAGGGCUAUUUCCGUGCUCCCACUGCAAUCCCUGCUCCUCCGGCUGCGCUGUCAGGCACCUCAGCACCCCCGCCGGCUCUAUUCUUAGCAGCUAAUAGCUGAAAUAAUUCCUUUUGUCUCAGCGCUCUUGGCUCCUUAGGUUUGGAACUGAGUAAAAACCUGCGGCUCGGGGGAGCCUGAGCUGCUCUUGGGACCUCUCCCAGCGCUGGGAAGAGCGGCCGGGGGUCCGGGGAGCGUUGCUGUUCCAACCAGGAAUGCUGGACGACAGCGACCAGAGCAGAGCUGCGGGCUGAGGAUCCCAAACAACUUGAGCCUGGCUCCGACACAGCUCUGCUUUGAAGCAGCUCCUGCGUUCAUGUAGUGCCAUCUCUUUGAAAAGGAUCCCGGCUUUUCCAGCUGGAAGUUUCUUAGACUUCACAGGGUAAAUUCCAGGAUUCCAGCUUUUCAAAGGGAGGGCCAGGUUUUCACCUGCAGGCUCCCAUUUCAGAGCCUGCUUUACUGCGUGGGCUGGCUUUGCAGUGAGAAUGCAAACGCUUUAUGCAAAUAUGACUCCCCAAUGCCAACACAUCCACGACAGCUCUUGGGAAACAAACCCACACCUCUGGCUUCGCAGGCUUUUGAUCUCAGCACCAGCUGUUCCAUCCAGUUCCCUUGAACCACCCCCCAGACAGGACUCUGAACCCCCCACCCCACUCCCUGUGCCAUGUCAGCCCUGCACACCCCAGCAGACGCACGGAAUCAGCUUUAAAACUGUUUGAGAAGGGGUUUAUUGCUAUUUAUCUGCCUGCAGCUCUUCCUCCUGCUGGUUGGGACCCCAGUGAGAGCAACAGCGUGUUCCAAGUGGAACAGGUUGCCCAGAGAAGCUGUGGCUGCCCCAUCCCUGGAAGUGUCCAAGGCCAGGUUGGAUGGGGUUUGGAGCCACCUGGGCUAGUGGAAGGUGUCCCUGCCCAUGGCAGGGGGUGGAACGGGAUGAUCUUUAUAAGGUCCCUUCCCACGCAAACCCUUCGAAGAUUCAACUCCCCCCACACACAACACCGCCCAAAACCUCGUGGUUCCACCGCCACCACAAGCCAUUUCCUCGUCCCUCCCCGAAAAAGCCUCUGGGGCUCCCUCACCCCGCAGCACCGCCGGGACCGGAGCGGGGAGGACACCGCGACCCCUCUCCCUCCUUUCCCCCCUCCCCCGGGGCGGGGGCUCCGCGACGCAC